GGUGAAUAUGCAUAGCAUAUCAAUCGAUAAUUUUCGGGUAUUUUCUCUUUCAUUUCUGAAAGCAACUUUGAAAGAUUUGAAAGACAACACGGACUGUGGAGGGGAAAACAUUAGCGUUUCUUCUGAAUUAUACAACGACAAAGGAUACACAUGUCAUUGGUGUUAUAAAUAAAGAAGAAGAGUCUUUACAGUAACUGCUGUUCAGAUAUGCUCUACAUUUGAUAUAUACUGAUCCAAAUCACACCAUUCAAGAGUAAAAAAAAAGAAAUCGGUUAAUAUUUUACAAAAU
rnacentral:lncRNA from 1 species